rnacentral:rRNA from 1 species
CGGCGGAGACUACCUGCAGUCGAACGGUAGCACAGAGAGCUUGCUCUCGGGUGACGAGUGGCGGACGGGUGAGUAAUGUCUGGGAAACUGCCUGAUGGAGGGGGAUAACUACUGGAAACGGUAGCUAAUACCGCAUAACGUCGCAAGACCAAAGAGGGGGACCUUCGGGCCUCUUGCCAUCAGAUGUGCCCAGAUGGGAUUAGCUAGUAGGUGGGGUAACGGCUCACCUAGGCGACGAUCCCUAGCUGGUCUGAGAGGAUGACCAGCCACACUGGAACUGAGACACGGUCCAGACUCCUACGGGAGGCAGCAGUGGGGAAUAUUGCACAAUGGGCGCAAGCCUGAUGCAGCCAUGCCGCGUGUAUGAAGAAGGCCUUCGGGUUGUAAAGUACUUUCAGCGGGGAGGAAGGUGUUGUGGUUAAUAACCACAGCAAUUGACGUUACCCGCAGAAGAAGCACCGGCUAACUCCGUGCCAGCAGCCGCGGUAAUACGGAGGGUGCAAGCGUUAAUCGGAAUUACUGGGCGUAAAGCGCACGCAGGCGGUCUGUCAAGUCGGAUGUGAAAUCCCCGGGCUCAACCUGGGAACUGCAUUCGAAACU